rnacentral:rRNA from 1 species
GACGAACGCUGGCGGCGUGCUUAACACAUGCAAGUCGAACGGAAAGGCCUCUUUCGGGGGGUACUCGAGUGGCGAACGGGUGAGUAACACGUGAGUAACCUGCCCUUGACUUUGGGAUAACUUCAGGAAACUGGGGCUAAUACCGGAUAGGAGCUCCUGCUGCAUGGUGGGGGUUGGAAAGUUUCGGCGGUUGGGGAUGGACUCGCGGCUUAUCAGCUUGUUGGUGGGGUAGUGGCUUACCAAGGCUUUGACGGGUAGCCGGCCUGAGAGGGUGACCGGCAACAUUGGGACUGAGAGACGGCCCAGACUCCUACGGGAGGCAGCAGUGGGGAAUAUUGCACAAUGGGUGGAAGCCUGAUGCAGCAACGCCGUGUGCGGGAUGACGGCCUUCGGGUUGGAAACCGCUUUCGCUCAUGACGAAGCUUUGUGUGACGGUAGUGGGUAAAGAAGCACCGGCUAACUACGUG